ACCACAAAAUAUCCGAGAGAGAUGGCAAAUUUGUAUAUUCUCUGUUAAUGUGUUAUGGGGAGGUACUGGCUGUGGGUGAAAGUAGGAAGGCUGGAGAAUCCAGUUACCUGAACUGGAUGAAGAAUAUGGAUAUGUUCAGGUUAUAACUUUUUCUGUUACUUUGUAUGAUAUAUCUUCUCACAAAUACUUUGGUUCAGCUAAUUAUUAUUCUGGAAGCACAAAGUCGGGUUGCGGCUUUUGCUCUAUAUCAGUAAUCAGUUCAUUGCUGACCUUCCACUACGGCAACUGCUAACUGAGCCAUACUCAUCACUUAUUUUAAUAUGGCAAGACGGUUGGAGCUACAGACUGCAUCAUAAUGGGUCUGGUCUUCGAGCUACAAAUUGCAUAUUUUUAUGAAACAGGCGAAUUGUCGUCAGCAUCAAGGGUGCUGGGUACCGAGGAUCAGGCUUUGUAGAUAUAUUAUUUAAUACAGCUGCAGACACAAUUCCUUCAUCUGAAAUAGAAGUGGUGGCAAGUCUGUAGAUUCUGAGAAUACUGGAGGCAGCAAAUCUUGGAAGGUUGUCCACUCAUGACAGACAUUACUUCCUCGGCAGUGGGCGUCAGUAAGGGAAUCAAACCGGAUCGUUGCCAUCCUUGGGUUUUUUUUUGUGCUACAGUGUGUGCAUGUAUGCAUCAGAUAUAAAUAAGGUGAUGACUAUCCCUGGCCCCCUAUUAGUAUCAUCGAUCCUGCUAAUCAAGUGCUUUUGUAUCCACCAGUAGCUUGACCAACUUGACUGUCCAGUCAUGCUAGAUUGGAAUCAGUAGAGGUAUUAUAUUGUCUUUGGGACAUUAUUGACCGUUCUAGAACACCAUGUAUCUUCUUGUAAGAGCAAAACCCUAAUUCGCAUAUUUGGAGACUCCUCCAGCUCUGGCCAGUACUCUGCAAAACCGGCACAUGAAACUUUAUUUCAGGGUGCCCGUUUCAAUCCUAUGAAUAUAUAUACAUGUUUAUGUGUCCACUUGUGCACAACCGAUGCUGUGGAUCGCAGACUCGCAGUUCCUUUGCCGCCUGAUUGGUUCACGCGGAUGGCUGCAGCUGCAAUUCAUAGAGAUAAAACAUUGUAGAAGCAGUAGAAUUCGGUACAGAUUAAAAUUAAGCGAACAAAACUCUUUUGUGUUUAGGAUAAUAAAUACGUAGUGAAAUC
rnacentral:lncRNA from 1 species